CUCAAGGUCGUCCACGCUGAAACUGCAGCAGGUUUCCGUCCGACCAGUCUCUAAAGCGCUGUUCGUCGCCGCAGAUUACAUCCUAGGCACUCGCCGAACGUAAGUUACCCACCCAUUCCGCCUGGCAACAGUCCCACGACGUCGGCAACGGGUGGGUACACACUGUACAGGCAUGCUUCGGUUAAACUUACUAAUCACUUUCC